AGUAGGUGGGUGCGAAAGUAAUUGUGGUUUUUGCCAUUGAAAGUAAUGGCAAAACCGGAAUUACUUUUGCACCCACCUGAUUAUUAUU
rnacentral:miRNA from 1 species